GUUUUAGCGUUAUCGUGGUGGUAUCUUUUCCCCUAUUGUUGCUCUCAGCUGUCCUUUAACUAUGAAGCACUAAAGUACUGUUUUUAUUUAAAUUCAAUUAUGCACUUAGAGUUCCCCCUCACCCCCGUUCGCUUUCCCAAUGGUUUUUGGCUGAAUUACAUAUGUUAGCAUAGUUAAUAACACCAAGUAUAUAAUUGGUUUUCACCACCUGUUUGAGUGGGGUUUACUGGAUUCCGUUUCCAGUUAAGUUUGAUGCCUUCCAUAACCUGUUCAUGAUAACAAUAAUGUAUGCUUAGGG